GAUGAACGCUGGCGGCGUGCCUAAUACAUGCAAGUCGAGCGAACAGACGAGGAGCUUGCUCCUCUGACGUUAGCGGCGGACGGGUGAGUAACACGUGGAUAACCUAUCUAUAAGACUGGGAUAACUUCGGGAAACCGGAGCUAAUACCGGAUAAUAUAUUGAACCGCAUGGUCCAAUAGUGAAAGACGGUUUUGCUGUCACUUAUAGAUGGAUCCGCGCCGCAUUAGCUAGUUGGUAAGGUAACGGCUUACCAAGGCAACGAUGCGUAGCCGACCUGAGAGGGUGAUCGGCCACACUGGAACUGAGACACGGUCCAGACUCCUACGGGAGGCAGCAGUAGGGAAUCUUCCGCAAUGGGCGAAAGCUUGACGGAGCAACGCCGCGUGAGUGAUGAAGGUCUUCGGAUCGUAAAACUCUGUUAUUAGGGAAGAACAAAUGUGUAAGUAACUAUGCACGUCUUGACGGUACCUAAUCAGAAAGCCACGGCUAACUACGUG
rnacentral:rRNA from 1 species